AUUCCCCCAGUAGCGGCGAGCGAACGGGGAGGAGCCCAGAGCCUGAAUCAGCAUGUGUGUUAGUGGAAGCGUCUGGAAAGGCGCGCGAUACAGGGUGACAGCCCCGUACACAAAAGCGCAUGUGUUGUGAGCUCGAUGAGUAGGGCGGGACACGUGGUAUCCUGUCUGAAUAUGGGGGGACCAUCCUCCAAGGCUAAAUACUCCUGACUGACCGAUAGUGAACCAGUACCGUGAGGGAAAGGCGAAAAGAACCCCGGCGAGGGGAGUGAAAAAGAACCUGAAACCGUGUACGUACAAGCAGUGGGAGCACCCUUUGGGGUGUGACUGCGUACCUUUUGUAUAAUGGGUCAGCGACUUAUAUUCUGUAGCAAGGUUAACCGAAUAGGGGAGCCGGAGGGAAACCGAGUCUUAAUUGGGCGUUAAGUUGCAGGGUAUAGACCCGAAACCCGGUGAUCUAGCCAUGGGCAGGUUGAAGGUUGGGUAACACUAACUGGAGGACCGAACCGACUAAUGUUGAAAAAUUAGCGGAUGACCUGUGGCUGGGGGUGAAAGGCCAAUCAAACCGGGAGAUAGCUGGUUCUCCCCGAAAGCUAUUUAGGUAGCGCCUCGUGAAUUCAUCUCCGGGGGUAGAGCACUGUUUCGGCUAGGGGGCCAUCCCGGCUUACCAACCCGAUGCAAACUGCGAAUACCGGAGAAUGUUAUCACGGGAGACACACGGCGGGUGCUAACGUCCGUCGUGAAGAGGGAAACAACCCAGACCGCCAGCUAAGGUCCCAAAGUCAUGGUUAAGUGGGAAACGAUGUGGGAAGGCCCAGACAGCCAGGAUGUUGGCUUAGAAGCAGCCAUCAUUUAAAGAAAGCGUAAUAGCUCACUGGUCGAGUCGGCCUGCGCG
rnacentral:rRNA from 1 species